rnacentral:rRNA from 1 species
GAUGAACGCUAGCGGCAGGCCUAAUACAUGCAAGUCGAGCGGCAAGUCGAGGAGUAAUCUGAGACCUAGAGCGGCGUACGGGUGCGUAACGCGUAUGCAACCUACCUCAUACAGGGGGAUAGCCCGGAGAAAUCUGGAUUAAUACCCCAUGGCACAGCACAAGGGCAUCUGCGAGCUGUUAAAGAUUCAUCGGUAUGAGAUGGGCAUGCGUCUGAUUAGCUAGUUGGCGGUGUAACGGACCACCAAGGCGACGAUCAGUAGGGGUUCUGAGAGGAAGGUCCCCCACACUGGCACUGAGAUACGGGCCAGACUCCUACGGGAGGCAGCAGUAGGGAAUAUUGGGCAAUGGUCGGAAGACUGACCCAGCCAUGCCGCGUGCAGGAAGAAGGCCUAUUGGGUUGUAAACUGCUUUUAUCUGGGAAGAAAAGGCCCGUGCGCGGGACAUUGCCGGUACCAGAUGAAUAAGCACCGGCUAACUCCGUGCCAGCCGCCGCAGUAAAAC